rnacentral:rRNA from 1 species
UGGGGAAUAUUGCACAAUGGAGGGAACUCUGAUGCAGCGACGCCGCGUGAACGAAGAAGGCUUUCGAGUCGUAAAGUUCUUUUAUAUGGGAAGAUAAUGACGGUACCAUAAGAAAAAGCCCCGGCUAACUACGUGCCAGCAGCCGCGGUAAUACGGAGGAUGCGAGCGUUAUCCGGAAUUAUUGGGUUUAAAGGGUGCGUAGGUUGCAAGGGAAGUCAGGGGUGAAAAGCUGUAGCUCAACUAUGGUCUUGCCUUUGAAACUCUCUAGCUAGAGUGUACUGGAGGUACGUGGAACGUGUGGUGUAGCGGUGAAAUGCAUAGAUAUCACACAGAACUCCGAUUGCGCAGGCAGCGUACUACAUUACAACUGACACUGAAGCACGAAAGCGUGGGUAUCAAACAGG